rnacentral:rRNA from 1 species
UACGUAGGGGGCAAGCGUUGUCCGGAAUCAUUGGGCGUAAAGAGCGUGUAGGCGGCCCGGUAAGUCCGCUGUGAAAGUCCAGGGCUCAACCCUGGGAUGCCGGUGGAUACUGUCGGGCUCGAGUCCGGAAGAGGAGUGUGGAAUUCCUGGUGUAGCGGUGAAAUGCGCAGAUAUCAGGAGGAACACCAAUGGCGAAGGCAGCACUCUGGGACGUGACUGACGGCUGAGACGCGAAAGCGUGGGGAGC